UACGGGGGGAGCAAGCGUUGUUCGGAUUUACUGGGCGUAAAGGGCGCGUAGGCGGCCACCGCAAGUCAGUUGUGAAAUCUCUGGGCUUAACCCAGAACGGUCAGCUGAUACUGCGGGGCUAGAGUGCAGAAGGGGCAACUGGAAUUCUCGGUGUAGCGGUGAAAUGCGUAGAUAUCGAGAGGAACACCGAUGGCGAAGGCAGUUCUCUGGGCCGUAACUGACGCUGAGGAGCGAAAGCAUGGGGAGCGAACAGG
rnacentral:rRNA from 1 species